GAUGAACGCUGGCGGCGUGCCUAAUACAUGCAAGUCGAGCGAACAGAUAAGGAGCUUGCUCCUUUGACGUUAGCGGCGGACGGGGGAGUAACACGUGGGUAACCUACCUAUAAGACUGGAAUAACUCCGGGAAACCGGGGCUAAUGCCGGAUAACAUUUAGAACCGCAUGGUUCUAAAGUGAAAGCUGGUUUUGCUAUCACUUAUAGAUGGACCCGCGCCGUAUUAGCUAGUUGGUAAGGUAACGGCUUACCAAGGCAACGAUACGUAGCCGACCUGAGAGGGUGAUCGGCCACACUGGAACUGAGACACGGUCCAGACUCCUACGGGAGGCAGCAGUAGGGAAUCUUCCGCAAUGGGCGAAAGCCUGACGGAGCAACGCCGCGUGAGUGAUGAAGGUCUUCGGAUCGUAAAACUCUGUUAUUAGGGAAGAACAAAUGUGUAAGUAACUGUGCACGUCUUGACGGUACCUAAUCAGAAGGCCACGGCUAACUACGUG
rnacentral:rRNA from 1 species